UUGCAGCAAUCCUUGGGCGAUCAUAAACGACAUACCAAUGUGGAGCAAUCCUCAGGCGAUCAUAAAGAACGUACCAAUGUGGAGGAAUCCUCAGGCGAUC